UACGUAAGUGGCGAGCGUUAUCCGGAAUUACUGGGCGUAAAGCGUGCGUAGGCGGUUUAGUGUGUGGGAAUUGAAAGCCCGGGGCUCAACUCCGGAUCCGGUUCCCAAACUGCUAGACUCGAGCAUAUCAGAGGACAGUGGAAUUCCCGGUGUAGCGGUAAUAUGCGUAGAUAUCGGGAGGAACACCAGUGGCGAAGGCGACUGUCUGGGGUAUUGCUGACGCUGAGGCACGAAAGCCAGGGGAGCGAACGGG
rnacentral:rRNA from 1 species